UACAUGGGGUGCAAACGUUGCUCGGAAUCAUUGGGCGUAAAGCGCGCGUAGGCGGUUACUUAAGUCGAAUGUGAAAGCCCUCGGCUUAACUGAGGAAGUGCAUCCGAAACUGAGUAGCUAGAGUACGAAAGAGGGUCGCGGAAUUCCCGGUGUAGAGGUGAAAUUCGUAGAUAUCGGGAGGAACACCGGUGGCGAAGGCGGCGACCUGGGUCGAGACUGACGCUGAGGCGCGAAAGCGUGGUGAGCAAACAGG
rnacentral:rRNA from 1 species